AUUGAACGCUGGCGGCAGGCCUAACACAUGCAAGUCGAGCGAGCGGCGGACGGGUGUGUAAUGUAUGGGGAUCUGCCCGCUAGAGGGGGAUAACUACUGGAAACGGUGCUUAAAACCGCAUACUAUAGGAUGAAUCCCUCUGGGGUGAGCUAGUGGGUGGGGUAAGGGCGCACCUAGGCGACGAUCUCUAGCUGGUCUGAGAGGAUGAUGAGGAACACUGGAACUGAGACACGGCCCAGACUCCGACGGGAGGCAGCAGGGGGGAAGAUGGCACAAUGGGAGAAAGCCGGAUACAGCCAUGCCGCGUGUAUGAAGAGGGCCUUAGGGUUGUAAAGUACUUUCAGCGGGGAGGCGUUACCCGCAGAAGAAGCACCGGCUAACUCCGGGCCAGCAGCCGCGGUAAUAC
rnacentral:rRNA from 1 species